rnacentral:lncRNA from 1 species
GGGUUGGUCUAAGAUCUCAAGGCUAAGAUUCUUCUUGAAAAGAAGAAUCUUCUAUGAGGAGAGAUCAGUUCGAGAUUGAUCUCCGUUGAUAUCCAUAGAGGCCAGACAUGUGUGUGGCUCAAGCAUCUACAAAUUCAUGAUCAUCAAAAGCAGUGAAUAUCUAUCCACGCCAAGAUAAUGAGAUCCGAUCUCAUACUUGUCUCUCAAUUUUAGAUCAUAUAUAU